AAAGUCCCGCAAGGGAUCGGUAGAGUGGCAAACGGGUGAGUAACACGUGGGUGACCUGCCUUCGAGUGGGGGAUAACGUCCCGAAAGGGACGCUAAUACCGCAUGACAUCCUGCCUUUGAAGAGGUGGAGAUCAAAGCUGGGGAUCGCAAGACCUAGCGCUUGAAGAGGGGCCCGCGUCUGAUUAGCUAGUUGGUGAGGUAACGGCUCACCAAGGCUACGAUCAGUAUCCGGCCUGAGAGGGCGGACGGACACACUGGGACUGAGACACGGCCCAGACUCCUACGGGAGGCAGCAGUGGGGAAUUGUUCGCAAUGGGCGCAAGCCUGACGACGCAACGCCGCGUGGAGGAUGAAGACCUUCGGGUCGUAAACUCCUUUCGAUCGAGACGAACGGCUUCCGGGCGAAUAUCCCGGGAGAUUGACGGUACCGAGAGAAGAAGCCCCGGCUAACUCCGUGCCAGCAGCCGCGGUAAUACGGGGGGGGCAAGCGUUGUUCGGAAUUACUGGGCGUAAAGGGCUCGUAGGCGGCCAACUAAGUCAGACGUGAAAUCCCUCGGCUUAACCGGGGAACUGCGUCUGAUACUGGAUGGCUUGAGGUUGGGAGAGGGAUGCGGAAUUCCAGGUGUAGCGGUGAAAUGCGUAGAUAUCUGGAGGAACACCGGUGGCGAAGGCGGCAUCCUGGACCAAAUCUGACGCUGAGGAGCGAAAGCCAGGGGAGCAAACGGGAUUAGAUACCCCGGUAGUCCUGGCCCUAAACGAUGAAUGCUUGGUGUGGCGGGUAUCGAUCCCUGCCGUGCC
rnacentral:rRNA from 1 species